rnacentral:misc_RNA from 1 species
CGUCGGCGUAAGCGGUUCGUGCGACCUACUCGGAUUUUAUUUCACAAUUUUUGACUUCCUGGCAGAGUUUCCUUGAGAUACGGAAUAUUGAGAUUAUUUUGGGAGAGUACCUAGCGGGAGACGAGGAUGUUGCGAAUAAGACAAGACCUGCUCAUACCUUCCCCCCCGCUGACACCCGGCGAUGAAGCCUCGAUGCCGCUGCUCACCGACCUCCUGGCCCGCAAUGCCCAGGACUUGAACGCACCGCCGGGCUUCGUGCUCUGCAUUCCGUGCUACUUGUGCAAGCAGCCCUUUAACGACAUAGAGAGCUUCAAGGCCCACCUCACCCAGCAUGCGGCGGAGAUCCACGCGUGGAAUACGGGGAGUGUCCAAAAAACGCAGCCUUACAUGCCACCUUACGAGUCAGUCCCGCGGAACCCACACCCGUAUCACUUGCCAGUUGCCUUUCCACCAACUCCCUCACCACCAAUGGGCCCGAUGACCUUGCCUCCCUGUGCGAUGCCGUCUCAGCAGGAACAGAUGCAACACCCGAUGCCGGUACUUACCCAGGUCCCCCUUCGAGCCAUGGACAUGAUGGUUGAGAGAGUAGCUCCAACCAUUCCACACCAUCACCACCUCCAUCCCUGCCCUCCGCCGUGGCUGCGGCAACCACUCCCCAAUCAGCCCUAUUUCCCUCCAGUGCCACCUCCAAUGGAGUACACGAUUCCAACGCCCAUGCACGCAGAGCCAAGUCAUUCACCAGAGCACCCGCCAAUCCUGACACCCCAAGCUGUUGAGCUUCAGGAAGAGGAGAUUUCCGUCGAUGUGGAAGCGCUGUCGGAUGCUGUGGAGAAACCCAAGCCCCCAGUCGUCCAAAUACUAAAGGACCUACUGAAGAAGAGCUCUGAUCAACCGGCAGCUCCCGAUCCUGGCGCCACAAAGCAACAGUUCGGGUGCGAGCUGUGCGGGAAGAAACUGAGCUCCCGCCAGGCUCUGAAGUACCAUUCGAGAGUGUUCCACCAGAUAGAGGACCUGCCCUCGGACCGGAUUGGCAGGAACGUGCAGAAGCUGUACAAAUGCACCGUCUGCAAGCGGCGCUACAAGCGGCAGUCCUUCCUCAAGCUGCACCUGAAGUACAGCCACGGGAUCAUCACCCCGCCCAAAGAGGCUGCGGAGCCGGAAAGUUCCACAGUGGAUUGUGAAGCACCACCCGCCGCGGAAAAGAGCGCCUCGCCCCCAGCCCACGAGCCUGGCCGCAAGGAGAUCUGGAGCACCAGACUGUACAACGCGGUGGCGGCGGCACAGUACCAGCCUGCCAGCGAGCCGGCGGCAAAGUACUUGAGUGCGCCACGUCAGCACCCAGCCAGAACCGAUUCCGGAGAUACUUCUGCGACGCAGCCGAAGCGAAUCUACCCGAUGCGAUCGCCGUUUUUCAAUCCCGAUCUCUGGCUAGAUCUUUAGCUGUGCUCUUAGAGGAGGAGCGGGAGUCCCAAGUACGCUCUAGAAGACUAUUCAAUAUUCCGACGGAAAAUCACUGGGUUGUGAAAUUCAAUACUCUUCCAAGACUGAAGAACGAGAAGGCCAUAAAAAUGUGGAGGAAUUACUUGAGACCAUUUUUACGGACUCAGCAGUUUGGAUUUCGUGUGAAAUAAGAACCAUAAGCGGAACAUUUCUGGAUACAAACAAAUUUUAACAAACUUAAGUGCUAAAGUGCUGGGGUGGGAUUGAAAACCCCGAUUUUGGAAAACGAAAAAUAAACGGAAAAUAAACGGCUGUUUUUUCAGCAAUCAUA